rnacentral:lncRNA from 1 species
UGUUUAAAAACUGCUUUUUCAACUGACAGAAAUGGGAGAAGAUAUUUGCAAACAAUGCAACUGAUUAAGGAUUAAUAUCCUGCCUUUCCCCUGUGGCCUCUGCCAAAGAUGGCUCGUCCUGUGGAGCUCCGGGUACGUGUGGGAUGAUUUGAAGGUAGUGCAUGCUUCAUCCUGCAGAGAGGAAAUAAUGACCAGGGUACAGUCUGCAUGUGAAGUUCACAGAUGCCAUCUCCUGUGUGAGAACCCUGCCCCUGUUGGCACCUCAGCUGCCUGACAGUCCUUGGUGAGACCCAGGGAUGUAACCUCAUUGUGAGUCAAGGAGCAUCUGUAGUUAAGUUUUGUGUGAUGAAAAUAGUUAACUGAUUUAUUUGUGGCUGUUGCUGUGGAGUAGUAGGC